rnacentral:rRNA from 1 species
UACGAAGGGGGCUAGCGUUGCUCGGAAUUACUGGGCGUAAAGCGCACGUAGGCGGAUUGUUAAGUCGGGGGUGAAAUCCUGGAGCUCAACUCCAGAACUGCCUUCGAUACUGGCGAUCUCGAGUUCGGGAGAGGUGAGUGGAACUGCGGGUGUAGAGGUGAAAUUCGUAGAUAUCAGGAAGAACACCUAUGGCGAAGGCAGCUCUCUGGGACGGUACUGACGCUGAGACGCGAAAGCGUGGGGAGCAAACAGG